UCAGGAGUUGGGGCUCAUGCCACAUUGGAAGUGGUACGUGGGUAACUAAGACCCUCAUCUUGGCUUUCGUGAGACUGCAAGUUUCCUGUGGAGUGGUCUCAGCCUAGACCCCUCACCUUCAUGGGGAGUAUCUGCCCCAUCGCUCACUGCCUGGGCAAGUGCUUUGACUACUACGCGCUGUAUAAAUGGGACGCUCUGCAAACUGCAGGCACAUCGAGGUCCUGCUUAAGUGCCGCUUUGUUCUCCAGAACUUGCCGGUGACUGCAUGCAAGGACAAGGGAGUGUUUUGUUUUGGUAGGUAGAGCAGCCUAACAGGUUUCUUUCAGAUCAGCUGGACCUGCCAGGCUGGGGAUGGGGAUAAUUAGAGGCAGUAAAGCCCAAUGAGCAGGACAGUCUCCCUUGAUGGAUCAAAUCUGCACCUGAGGUGACAACGUGUGGUCUCAGCUGAGCCGCAGAGAACAUGGCAACUCACAGAGAACCAAGUGCUUGCAUUUCGCUUUGCAAAUGAAAAGAGGAAACCACCACCACUGACAACUUCUCCACAUGCCUGCAUGAAGAACCAGAUGCACCUUUGCAGCAUGCUUACAAAAAUAACCCCCCAGUUGCAGCUUUAGAAGAUGAAGAAAGAAUGAUGAUAAAAUCUUCCAAAUAGAUUUUGCCCUGGCAGAAAGCCCAGAAAUAGCUGCAAGGACAGGCUGUCCUUUGGGAGGUGAAUGCUCCCCCAGCACUCCUGAGCUGGACUGGUAGGAAGAAAAAGAAAGAAAAAAGGGUUAUUCUGAUCAAAACCAUUUCAUAGAGUGGUAGGCAGUCCAGUCACAGCCCCCUCUCCCCUGGCCCCCAAGCCAUGUUGUUUCCAGAGAGCAGUCAUAUGCCUCCUGAAAAAAAUACAUUUCUUGUCUCACCCACAUUUCCCACAGCCUUGUUAAGUAUUGCCUCACCUUUUCUUUAGGUAGGGUUCAGCUUCUGUUCUUGAGAUAUCCAUAUACUUUCUCUGUUUUAAGACGUCCCUUGCUUUCUCAGCCCUUGCUGUUGGGUAGCCACCCUUCUUCUCCACUUACUACAUCUGUUCCUGAUUCAGAAAACCUUUUUUUGUUGUGGGAAAUCUAUAAAUUUUCCAGAAUAACAGUAGUUUUCUUUAUCUUUCCAUAGGCUUAGGCUUCAGAAUCAACAGGAUCUAUAUUGUCCUUUCUAUAGGCAUAAUUUCCACCUUUUGCAUGCUGAUUUUUUCCUAAUACAGUUCAAAUAGCUUCUGGAGACAACCAUAACACAAAUUCCUCUAUGUCCUCCUGCUGUAUUCACAGCCCUGCCAUGCAGUCCAGCAUCUACCCUCCUGCUGCAUUUCAUUUCCAGUACAAAGACAGUCUUGGGGUCUUACCAUGAGCAUCCCUUGCUGAGCCAAACAAGCUCACUCUUUGCUGAAUUUCCCAUUGAAAUGCUUCAGGCCUACAGGUUGGGCCUUGUGAAUUAACAGAGGAGUUUGGUCCCCUGACCUAGGCAGUACUAUUUUGGCUGCUCAGGUAUCCCAGGUAUGCUGUCUUUGCAUUAUUUUCAGUGCAUUCAUGCAGUGUCACAAGCCACUGAAUGAAGCUAGCCCUACCCACAAACUCCAAUUUCCCUAUUACGUGGGUGCAUGUUCUCCAAGUAAUGGCUAGCCAUCUCUCAUUUCUCCUUCAGCUGCUUUUUUCCUCUUUUAUACAUACACACCCUUUUAAGAAAUGGCAGGGAGCAAGUUUCAAGUGCAGCAGACAUGUCAGCUUAAUUUAUAUAGGGCAGAGAAUUGGCUAAAUCUGUAACUCCUCUGCAUUUUCAUUGCAGUGCGCAGGCAGGCAGAGAAAAAGACCUAGUCUUUGCCUCCCAUUAAAAGAGAUAAAUGAUCUUGCUGGCACACACACGGUGCAGCUCAGGACAGACCAGCUUGGCUAGAUUACUGGUUAGCCCUGCCAACAGCUAAUUCGUUCAGAAAAAGGUGCAUGUAACCCUGUAGACAGCUGCAGAGCAACCGUCAUGCUUUUUAUUUCCCCUGCCCACACCAUUAGUGGUUGGCACUGUUAAUCCUAUUUAAUGUAACUAUGGAUAGACAUGCAAACCUUUAAUCCAUCUCAAACCUACUAACCCUUCAGCCUGCCUUGGCUGGAGUUCCACGUUUUGAGCUGCAAACAGGCAUGAGGCAGCCUGCCUUCUUUUACACUCCUCAUUUUUAGUUGAGUUGAUGGGUAUUCUUGUCUCAAAAUGAGACACUUCCUUUUGCUGUAACUUUUCUUUUGUGAGUUACUGAGGGCGCUGCUGCUGUACACCUUCUACAAUAACCAGCUCCUUACCCAGGAUAUUCAGGAGCCCAUCAGUGUUGUAGGUAAAGACUGAAGUGUAAAUCAGUUAUGAAAAAGAAGCCAGAGGCUGAGAUUGCCAAAACUUUUUAAGAGCCUUCCCCCCACUUUUCCUCCACAGCUUUUUCAGCAUUUUAAGUCGUCUUUGCCUAAGCAAGUUUUACAGUCAGUCUCUGUUCACUGGCAGCCAGAUUUCUUACUGCCAUGUCAUUUCAAAGGCAAGAAGUUCGUUAGCGUCCUGAGCAAACACGUUUUUUCUUGGUUUACACUUGCAGUCCUGCCCUCUCCUGAUACACAUAUAAUGCUGGUGUUAGCUGUUGUUGCUUUCUACACUAAAGACUUGUUCAUACAGCAGAGGCUGUAUUGGCUUACAUCAGCUUGUACCCAUCCAAACAAAUUUUCCUAUUUGCUUUCCAUUCACGUCAUGAGGCAGCAAUAGGCCAUUAACAGGCCUGAUGAAUCUUGUUCACAAUAAGCUAGCUCAACACUGAGCAUCUGGGAACUAUUCUGCCUUCUUUAAACGAUUUCCCUGGAAAGGUUCUACCACAUUAAUAACACUCCAGAGCUUUUAUUUGCAUUUAUAUUAAAGUUGCUGCUGUUGCUGCCUCCCAUUCCAACUCCCUGCUGUGUGUGGGUGGGGAUGCACUCUAAGAUGGCACCCUCCUCCUUCUUCCCUAGCUCAGCUACCUCUAUUUUCUGCUGCAGGAUGCUCAGCUGGUGUCGCAGAGCUGGGAAGCGAGCCAGAAGCCCGAUGAGCUCAGCCAGCACAUGGUGCUCACCCUGCAGCAGCGGGAUGUCUCCCUGCGCUGCUGCAAGCUGGAGAGAAAUGCUGUCUAGCAGGUCCAGGGGUUGAGGGCUGCAGUGUGUUAGCUUCCAGCAUGGGAACCAGAGGUUGGAGGCCAGCUAGGAAAAGCAGCUGUGGCAGCUGCUCCUUCCCUAACCCCCUCUUCUCUUACAUGGGGCAGAAAAAUCUGGCUGCAAGGAACAGAGAGAUGGCACAGGUUGCUCUACGAUAGCCACUACAUGGGGUCCCAGUACAGUUGAGGAGCUGGCAUGCUCUAGGCAUGACUAGACCAUAACAUAGAAAGCUGGGAGUAUGAGAUGUUUAGCUGUAGCUUAUCACCAGGCACAUGCGACAGGCUGGUACCCAUUCUCUCCUCUAGCCUGUAGACAUUCUCCUCAGGUCUUGCCCUUAUCUACCCAGUGUGCAGGUGGCACUGCUGUCCUUUCAUAGGAGCUGCUGCUCUGCUAGGGAGAGGGAAAAUCAAGGCUAGAACAUGUCAGAUCUUUGCCCUUCUAGAAUAUUGUUUAUAUAGAGCCACCCAUUCAUUCUGCUUGCUUUUCCUUUCUCCUGCAAAAUAAAGUAUAAUUUAUUUAAGGAUACUGUUUACUGUACAACCAAAUUUGAUUUCAGAUGGCAAAAUCCAGUCAGGUAGGUUUAACCUCUUCAACAAUGUAAUACCUCAUGGCAUACAGCCCACAAGAAGUAUGUUGAUUACUUUAGUUGGCCCUGGUAGUCUUUCCAGCCAGUAAUGAGAGCUGCCAUCUAGCUUUAAAACUCCACAGAUCCAGGUGUUAUUAUCCUUGGGGAAAACUGCUCUGGGCCCCACUUUAUAAAGUUCCUCAUUAACUCUGAAAAAACAGCUUUCCUGUUUACUUACAUUUGUAAGCAAACAAGCAGGGUUUUGUACAGAGUGAACCACAUUACCCUACUAGUGCUUCUUUCUGGAGCAACAAAGGAUGGCUUUUGCUUUCCUCAGCCUGCAAAAGAAGGGCCCAGGAACUGAACAACCACAGAAGCAAGGGUGCGCAGGAGAAACAGGUAAAGGAGGCACAUGGGGUGACAUGAAGGACCUCUGUAAGAUCAAAGGAACUACCAAAUACUGAAGAUGAGGAUUUGAAACGGAGUAUCACCCCAGAAAUCUACCUCUUUCAAAACUCAAGUUGUGGCACAACCACCUUUUUCACACUGUUAAUUGUCUCCAUGACAACUCCACAUGGAGUUGCAUGUGUUAGACCAGCUCACAUACACGACAGCAGGCACAGACUGUAGAGUUUUUAAGGAGACAUGUGGUAUAUACACCUUUUGAUCAACCACUUUUUCAAACACUAUUGCUUUCAUUCUUUAAAGAAGCAUUCUCUUUUUUUACACUUUUUAAAAUUUUGGGAGCAAGAACAAAUGGAUAAAGAAGGGAAUUGGUCUUUGAACUGUUCUAUAUUUACCACUUUUGGCUGCAGAUAGUUGAACUUGAUCCUAUUACAAGAAAGCCCCUCCCACAUGCUAUUACACAAUUCCCAGUACACACACUUCAGUAUGUUCACUAUUUCCCUUGUCUGGACCUCAUACAUCUGGGUGACCUUCCCUCCCAUGCAGACAAGAGGGAAAGAACACAAAAGAGGCAGCAAGAGGACAGCACCAGGAAUUCCAAUCAGAAAACAGGGAAGGGAUACCAAAUUCUCACCAGUGCUGACAUCUAAGCAGCUGCUGCCCAUGUCAGCCAAGCCCCUUGUAAGCAACUCCUGAGUCUAACCAAAGCUUAGCAUUAGUCCUUCUCCUUACCUCUUUUUCCCCAAAGGGGACACAUUUCCCAUUUUCUUAGGUAAGGGGCGGGCAAGGGCAGUGGCAGGCGCUCCCCAGAAGCGCAUUUACAGUGGUUUAGCAAGGAAGCGUCUGGAACAACACUUCCACCUGCCGGGCCUUCUAUUUGUUGCAACCGGGUAUUUAGCAGCAGUCCGAUAGAAAAAACAUCCCUCCAACCCAGCACCACAACCUCUGGCUCAGAAGGUUUUAACUUUCUGCUGGGACUAACACCUGGGUCACAACCCCUCCUGGGUACAGGAGCAGGCAGCGCCCAGCAGUGCUGCCCUCCUAGCGUGGCUGAACCUGAGUGGGAGGCUCAGGUACAAGCAUCCAAAGGACAACUUUCUCCCUGUAAAAGGUCUUCCUUGGAGAGGGGAGACUAAGUAAGCAAAACAGAGGAGUCACCUCCAUUCCAACCUGCACUCCUUGAAGGCCUGAGCAUGUCAGAAAGAAGAUUAAAUACAUGUGUCAACAUGAAUCAGAUAGGCCAUUCACACAACUGAGUCAUCCUAAAGAGGGAUGCUUGGAUCAGAACAGUGACACAGUUUGUCUCCAUCAGUCGUAGCCUGUCAUAAUUAAUCACUAUUACAAAGGCAAAGAGAGGCUGUGUCUGCAACAAGUAUUUAAUCAAAUGACAUAUGAAAAGUUUUUACAAUGACUGAGAAACCUGACAGAGGCUGUAAUAAGAA